rnacentral:lncRNA from 1 species
UCUACUUGCUAAGCCAUCUCACGCUGGUCCUAUUGUGAUUAUUUUUUUUUAAGAAAUGAAAUCACAAUAUAGGAAUCAUAGUUUUCCUUAUAACCCUGCAAAUCAUUUUAAAGAUGUAAAUAAUCCAAUAUGUAAAAUUUGGGAGCCCAAAGCUAAAAAAAAAAAGUGAGUUAAUGCCCAACAGCAAACGCUUGAAGAAAUGAAUAGGGGUGGAGAACCAGGGCUCUGAAUCAGAGGCUGUGCAGCAAGUGGGGACCACUAACUCAGCCUCUGGCAAGUCAGCCGUGUGUGUUUCUAACCAUCAGCCAAUGAUAGGGGAAGAGCGUGCAGUCCAAAGACGACAUUGAAGUGCAGUGUCCAUUCUGGCUAAGCCCACUGGAAUCCUGAACUUGCUGUGUGUAUCAUCCCAAAGCCCCACAGGCAAUGAUAGUCUCCGUGGGAAGCUCUCUGGGGCACCAGGAAGCAGGAGGAAUCUGCGCUGCCUCUCCCACUUCCUGUCAGAGGUAGGGAAGAUGCACCACAGAAAGUCUAAAGGUAGACAUUUUCAAUUUUGGGGGGACUGUCUACAGGCAAUGAGUCUCUCGAAGUUCUGGUCAUUGACUGGGACUUCUACCCACCAGUGAUCCUCUACGGCACCUGGUGACAGUUUUGCAGAAAUCACAUUUUGAUCUCCAUCAUUAAGUAAUUACUGAGAUGAUAUAAAGUUUGGUUCAGUAGAGAUGAUUAGCCAGGCCUGGAGGCAAAGGCCUGUGGUCCAAGUUACUCAAGGGGUUGAGGCAGGAAACUUGCAAGUUUCUCAGGACAGCCUGGAAAAAAAAAUCUGUAAGAUCCUGUCUCAAAAAAAAAGAAGGGAAAGGAGGGCUGGGAGUGGCCCAUGCUAGAUGCUUGUCCAGUAUGCACGAGACCCUGGGCUCAGUACCCAGGAUGGCAAUAUGAGCGAAUGGAGGAGGUUGUUGCUACGCAACCCUGAGAAAGCUAGAAUGGAGAAGCUGAUGUGGGGAGGCUCUGUGAUGUGAAGAGAGGGAUGCCUCUAGGGAUGCCCUACUUGGGAAAAAAAUGGCUGUCAGCCUCUGAACCAAACAAAAGACGUUAAAUCUGAUCUGAUUUUUAGUUUUUAAACUUAAAAAAAAAAUUUUUUUAUUACAUGUAGGUGUGUGUGUCUGCAUGCAGGUGUGCACACAUGAGACGAGAGGCAUCAGGUCCCCUGCAACUGUAGUCACAGAUGCUUUUGAGCCACCUGAUCUAUAGGUGCUAGGGACAGAACUUGGGUCCUCUGGAACAGCCAUCUCUCCAUCCUCUAAUCUGCUAAGCUUUGUCAUAAACACUGUCAGCCAUGAUGGUAGUUGAUCAUGAGUUGGUCAUGAGUUCAUCUGGGACUGAGAUAGUGACAUCAGCCUUGACCAGAAGAGAUGCUCCCAGUCAGCUUGCCUAAUCAAUAAAUUGCCAACAGGGCCUGUAUACAUCCUUCUCUCUACUUUUAUACUUCUCGUACGCUCGUUUUCUAUCAAACCAAGUUUCUUAUGAAAUGUAGUCUCUGAAAGUAUCUGCCAAGUAACCCUGCCUUGUAUGUCGUAUUUUCUUUAUUCUCUUAUUUGUUGUUAGGCGCCAUUAGACCGGCCGCUGUGCUCAAUGAAAGUCCGUAUCUCGUAGAAGGUUCUGUUUCAAGUAAUGCCUGAAACCAGCUCAUGGGAAGAAUAGAAAGGAUGGGACCGGAGCCUCAGGAGGAAGAUUCUUGUCUCUGGAUCCUUGAAACCUAGGGCAAAUGCAGAGGAUAGAAACGUGCUGGGGGUUUUUUUUUUCUCCCUCAAAGAAUACUUGAGAUGAAAAUACAGCUGUAUAAAAACAAAAACCAUCCAAGACACCCAGAACCGAAGUGCCUUCUCGAAUCAUGUCACUCAUGCUUUGCCGAUUACUCUAAACCCAGCUAGACAGCUUCUCACUAACAGUCAGGGCAUCUUUAGAUAUUAGAAAUGUUGUAAUCUUUGUGAUACGUCUCUUUGUGGUGUUUUUUUUCCGGCUCCCUUUCUUUCUCUCCUGGAUGUAGGGAGAGCCCCCUUCUCUCCUUAACACCCCUCUCCCCUCUAAGGAAAUGAGAUGUUGCAAGGGAAUAGGCGUCCAGAUUCUUGCUGACGUCUCUUAUCCUUUCAACAUUUGAUAGGGAGUUAUCAAAUAACCUGUACUUCCUUGCACAGCAUAGGGAGAGCGUAUAUUUUGAGUUAGAAGGGGUUUCCCCCUUAACCCUUUAGAUUCUGGAUUUCUUUCCCCUGUCGCAGGGGAAAUUACGUGGAGAGGAACUUGAGACCAUGAGAAUGUGAGGACAAGGGCCAGGCUACAUUUUUCUCAUUACGUUUUCUUCUGGCUUGCAUCUUUCUAGCUCUCUUGGUACCAAAAACAAGAUCAAGCUGAAGGGACAGGUUAGCUGGGUAUAGAGGG